rnacentral:misc_RNA from 1 species
GUACACCUCAACAACUGCGUUUGAAGUGGGAAAAUUUAAAAAAAAAUCUCGCAAACGCAAUACAUUAAUUAGGAUGAACAACAUUAAGAUCUAUGUGGAAUUGGUAUACCAUAUAUACAACGCUAGGUACACAUGAUCAAUGUGUAAAAUUUGCUGAGGAGCAGGGUCUCAUUCCGACAAAAAAGAUAUGUCCAUACCACCGGAAACCAAUGGCUAUUUAUGGGACAAGUACCGG